CCUUGCAUCUCUCUUUUCUGCUUCUUCUCCAACAGCAACGAUACCCGCAUCGCAAUCGAAUAUGGAAGCAUGAACUAUCAUCUUCACUGAAGCUUGUGAAUCUUUUACAAAAGCAUGCAUGCAUGGUAUCGUAAAUUGUUGUUCCAGAUAAUAAAAAAACAAAAGAAAAACGAAUCUAGAACAUCAACAAUAUUUUAAUCUACUCCGAGAAAAAACAAUCCAGAACCAAAUUAAAAAGGAAGAAAAAAAGAGGAUCAGAU
rnacentral:lncRNA from 1 species